rnacentral:rRNA from 1 species
ACGGAAGGCAGCAGUGGGGAAUAUUGCACAAUGGGGGAAACCCUGAUGCAGCGACGCCGCGUGAGCGAAGAAGUAUUUCGGUAUGUAAAGCUCUAUCAGCAGGGAAGAAAAUGACGGUACCUGACUAAGAAGCCCCGGCUAACUACGUGCCAGCAGCCGCGGUAAUACGUAGGGGGCAAGCGUUAUCCGGAUUUACUGGGUGUAAAGGGAGCGUAGACGGCAAGGUAAGUCUGAAGUGAAAUCCCGGGGCUCAACCCCGGAACUGCAUUUGAAACUGUAGCCCUUGAGUAUCGGAGAGGCAAGCGGAAUUCCUAGUGUAGCGGUGAAAUGCGUAGAUAUUAGGAGGAACACCAGUGGCGAAGGCGGCUUGCUGGACGACAACUGACGCUGAGGCGCGAAAGCGUGGGGAGCAAACAGGAUUAGAUACCCUGGUA